rnacentral:rRNA from 1 species
UACGUAGGGUGCAAGCGUUGUCCGGAAUUAUUGGGCGUAAAGAGCUCGUAGGCGGUUUGUUGCGUCGGCUGUGAAAUCCCGAGGCUCAACCUCGGGUCUGCAGUCGAUACGAGCAAACUAGAGUGUUGCAGGGGAGACUGGAAUUCCUGGUGUAGCGGUGAAAUGCGCAGAUAUCAGGAGGAACACCGGUGGGCGAAGGCGGGUCUCUGGGCAACAACUGACGCUGGAGGAGCGAAAGCCGUGGGGAGCGAACAGG